AGAAGACGAGAAUGUUGCGUACAAUAAUGUGUUAAAAAAAGAGGUAAUAUCAAUAGCAACAUUCUCCAAAAUAACUGGCUUACACUGAGACAAUAGAAGUGGUAGGAAAGGGGGAAUAGAGGGUGGGGGGAUGAAAGAAGGCAUUUCAUGUAUAAUGUAUUCUAUUUUAUAAUGAAUUCAUAUACUAGUUUCUUGGCCAUUUUUGUAAAAUUUUCACACAUUUAAUGAGAUCAGUAUUUACAACAUAAUUAAUUAUAAGAGUUGCUGGAAUUUUUUUCUUUAGCUGCACUGACUAGUGCUAGAUCACUGAAUAGUGUGCAGUGAUCGUAUGUACCUACUCAUUGACAAACGAAUGAGCCUGCACUACCACCUGGUGGAUUGUAGAUGUCGUGCAGGGCGCUUGUGAUUGGAUAACGAGGCGCACAUAUGUGCCCUUUAAAAGCGGAAGGAAUUGGCAAUAUUUCCGGCCUGGCGAUGGUUGCAAAAUGGUUGCUAAAUGGUUGCUAGAAUUACGACGGUACGUAGUUCUAUUUCUGGUUCUCAUCACCUUGGCGAUUAACGCUUCAUGUGAAGGACCAGUAUUCCUCAGAGCGUGCGAACGGUUUGUUUUAAACCGUCUGGACGCUGCUGGGUAGCCGGUUAGCGUGCUAAACAGUAGCCUGUUUGAGCCGCACGAUUUGCAAAUUCAAACUAAUUCUGACUGCACGUAUCGCUUCAGGCAGCGUGUUAUUGAAUUUUACGAUAUAGCGCUUUGUUAUUUGUUACUUCUAAAUAUGUGCAAGAAACCGUUUAGUUUGAGUGAUCCAAACAAUUUGGCUGUUGCGACUUUAGCCACGUGUUAGUGAAGAAGCGGCUUGUUCUGUGGGGAACGUUCCUUUCAGAGUGGGUCUUGCACUUGUAGUGCAUAGUAACGAUGAGACAUGCACGAAGAAGGCGGCAGAGUAUUAUCGAGGGUGUAGCAGCAGACCGAUGGACUCAACUACGCCAAGAAGUCCGAAGCAUCUGGUUUCUGUUUUACUGCCAAAAGAAGAGUUAACCAAGUUGUUGCACUCCUGAUGAUGGGGCCAUUGUUGAAUCCUGUGAGCAUGUGUGGUUCACAGUGUUGUACGUAAUGUUGCAUGUAUUUAUGGAUUGUGAUUGAAUGCAUGUUUUGUAAAUUAAGUGUUUUUCUAAUAAAAGACUAAAGUUA